CAGUAGCCGCGGGAAUACAGAGGGUGCGAGCGUUAAUCGGAUUUACUGGGCGUAAAGCGUGCGUAGGCGGCUUUUUAAGUCGGAUGUGAAAUCCCUGAGCUUAACUUAGGAAUUGCAUUCGAUACUGGGAAGCUAGAGUAUGGGAGAGGAUGGUAGAAUUCCAGGUGUAGCGGUGAAAUGCGUAGAGAUCUGGAGGAAUACCGAUGGCGAAGGCAGCCAUCUGGCCUAAUACUGACGCUGAGGUACGAAAGCAUUGGGAGCAAACAGGAUUAGAUACCCCCGUAGUCCCUGUCUCUUAUAC
rnacentral:rRNA from 1 species